rnacentral:rRNA from 1 species
GGGAGGCGCAGCUUACACAUGCAAGUCGAGCGCACUCUUCGGAGUGAGCGGCGGACGGGUUAGUAACGCGUGGGAACGUGCCCUUCUCUAAGGAAUAGCCACUGGAAACGGUGAGUAAUACCUUAUACGCCCUUCGGGGGAAAGAUUUAUCGGAGAAGGAUCGGCCCGCGUUAGAUUAGAUAGUUGGUGGGGUAAUGGCCUACCAAGUCUACGAUCUAUAGCUGGUUUUAGAGGAUGAUCAGCAACACUGGGACUGAGACACGGCCCAGACUCCUACGGGAGGCAGCAGUGGGGAAUCUUGGACAAUGGGCGCAAGCCUGAUCCAGCCAUGCCGCGUGAGUGAUGAAGGCCUUAGGGUCGUAAAGCUCUUUCGCCAGAGAUGAUAAUGACAGUAUCUGGUAAAGAAACCCCGGCUAACUCCGUGCCAGCAGCCGCGGUAAUACGGAGGGGGUUAGCGUUGUUCGGAAUUACUGGGCGUAAAGCGCACGUAGGCGGAUCAGAAAGUAUAGGGUGAAAUCCCAGGGCUCAACCCUGGAACUGCCUUGUAAACUCCUGGUCUUGAGUUCGAGAGAGGUGAGUGGAAUUCCGAGUGUAGAGGUGAAAUUCGUAGAUAUUCGGAGGAACACCAGUGGCGAAGGCGGCUCACUGGCUCGAUACUGACGCUGAGGUGCGAAAGUGUGGGGAGCAAACAGGAUUAGAUACCCUGGUAG